rnacentral:rRNA from 1 species
AGCGGCCGCGGUAAUUCCAGCUCCAAUAGCGUAUAUUAAAGUUGUUGCAGUUAAAAAGCUCGUAGUUGAAUUUCGGGAUCAAAUUGUCGGUCGUGCCUCGGUACGUACUGGCGUUAUUGGUUCCUCCCUUCUGAAGAACCGCGAUGUCAUUAAUUUGGUGUCGCGGGGAAUCAGGACUGUUACUUUGAAAAAAUUAGAGUGUUUAAAGCAGGCUCGCGCUUGAAUACAUUAGCAUGGAAUAAUGAAAUAGGACGUUUGAUUCUAUUUUGUUGGUUUCUAGGAUCGACGUAAUGAUUAAUAGGGAUAGUUGGGGGCAUUAGUAUUCAAUUGUCAGAGGUGAAAUUCUUGGAUUUAUUGAAGACUAACUACUGCGAAAGCAUUUGCCAAGGAUGUUUUCAUUAAUCAAGAACGAAAGUUAGGGGAUCGAAGACGAUCAGAUACCGUCGUAGUCUUAACCAUAAACUAUGCCGACUAGGGAUCGGAUGAUGUUAAUUUUUUAAUGACUCAUUCGGUGUCUUAC